rnacentral:rRNA from 1 species
CUACGGGUGGCAGCAGUGGGGAAUAUUGCACAAUGGGCGCAAGCCUGAUGCAGCCAUGCCGCGUGUGUGAAGAAGGCCUGCGGGUUGUAAAGCACUUUCAGCGGGGAGGAAGGCGGUGAGGUUAAUAACCUCAUCGAUUGACGUUACCCGCAGAAGAAGCACCGGCUAACUCCGUGCCAGCAGCCGCGGUAAUACGGAGGGUGCAAGCGUUAAUCGGAAUUACUGGGCGUAAAGCGCACGCAGGCGGUCUGUCAAGUCGGAUGUGAAAUCCCCGGGCUCAACCUGGGAACUGCAUUCGAAACUGGCAGGCUAGAGUCUUGUAGAGGGGGGUAGAAUUCCAGGUGUAGCGGUGAAAUGCGUAGAGAUCUGGAGGAAUACCGGUGGCAAAGGCGGCCCCCUGGACAAAGACUGACGCUCAGGUGCGAAAGCGUGGGGAGCAAACAGGAUUAGAUACCCCAGUAGUC